rnacentral:rRNA from 1 species
AUUGAACGCUGGCGGCAGGCCUAACACAUGCAAGUCGAACGAGUGGCGGACGGGUGAGUAAUGUCUGGGCAACUGCCUGAUGGAGGGGGAUAACUACUGGAAACGGUAGCUAAUACCGCAUACCAUCGGCUUUGCCCAGAUGGGAUUAGCUAGUGGGUGGGGUAAAGGCUCACAAAGGCGACGAUCCCUAUCGGGUCUGAGAGGAUGACCAGCCACACUGGAACGGAGACACGGUCCAGACUCCUACGGGAGGAAGCAGUGGGGAAUAUUGCACAAUGGGCGAAAGCCUGAUGCAGCCAUGCCGCGUGUAUGAAGAAGGCCUUCGGGUUGUAAAGUACUUUCAGCGGGGAGGCGUUACCCGCAGAAGAAGCACCGGCUAACUCCGUGCCAGCAGCCGCGGUAAUAC